ensembl:lncRNA
GUAAGAAUAAUAGAACACGCCAGGUGUAAGAAUAAUAGAACAUGCCAGGUGUAAGAAUAGUAGAAUGCGCCAGGUGUAAGAAUAGUAGAAUACGCCAGGUGUCAGAAUAGUAGAAUACGCCAGGUGUCAGAAUAGUAGAAUAUGCCAGGUGUAAGAAUAGUAGAAUACGCCAGGUGUAAGAAUAAUAGAACCCGCCAGGUGUAAGAAUAGUAGAAUAUGCCAGGUGUAAGAAUAAUAGAACACGCCAGGUCUAAGAAUAAUAGAACACGCCAGGUGUAAGAAUUAUAGAAAACGCCAGGUGUAAGAAUAAUAGAACGCUCCAGGUGU